GAUUGAACGCUGGCGGCAGGCUUAACACAUGCAAGUCGAGCGGAGAUGAGGUGCUUGCACCUUAUCUUAGCGGCGGACGGGUGAGUAAUGCUUAGGAAUCUGCCUAUUAGUGGGGGACAACAUUCCGAAAGGAAUGCUAAUACCGCAUACGCCCUACGGGGGAAAGCAGGGGAUCUUCGGACCUUGCGCUAAUAGAUGAGCCUAAGUCGGAUUAGCUAGUUGGUGGGGUAAAGGCCUACCAAGGCGACGAUCUGUAGCGGGUCUGAGAGGAUGAUCCGCCACACUGGGACUGAGACACGGCCCAGACUCCUACGGGAGGCAGCAGUGGGGAACAUUGGACAAUGGGCGGAAGCCUGAUCCAGCCAUGCCGCGUGUGUGAAGAAGGCCUUUUGGUUGUAAGGCACUUUAAGCGAGGAGGAGGCUACCUGGAUUAAUACUCUAGGAUAGUGGACGUUACUCGCAGAAUAAGCACCGGCUAACUCUGUGCCAGCAGCCGCGGUAAUACAGAGGGUGCGAGCGUUAAUCGGAUUUACUGGGCGUAAAGCGUGCGUAGGCGGCUGAUUAAGUCGGAUGUGAAAUCCCUGAGCUUAACUUAGGAAUUGCAUUCGAUACUGGUCAGCUAGAGUAUGGGAGAGGAUGGUAGAAUUCCAGGUGUAGCGGUGAAAUGCGUAGAGAUCUGGAGGAAUACCGAUGGCGAAGGCAGCCAUCUGGCCUAAUACUGACGCUGAGGUACGAAAGCAUGGGGAGCAAACAGGAUUAGAUACCCUGGUAGUCCAUGCCGUAAACGAUGUCUACUAGCCGUUGGGGCCUUUGAGGCUUUAGUGGCGCAGCUAACG
rnacentral:rRNA from 1 species